rnacentral:rRNA from 1 species
ACCCCUACGGGAGGCAGCAGUAGGGAAUAUUGCACAAUGGGGGAAACCCUGAUGCAGCAACGCCACGUGUGGGAUGACGCAUUUCGGUGUGUAAACCACUGUCAGUUGGGACUAAAAUGAAUGUACCAUCAAAGGAAGCACCGGCUAACUUCGUGCCAGCAGCCGCGGUAA